rnacentral:lncRNA from 1 species
AUCAAAUAGAAAUAUUUGAUAACUCCUUCAAUAUUAGAAUUUUUGUUUUAGAAUUUUAAAAAAUUCUUAAAAAAUAGAAUUCCAUUAAAUUAUAAAGAUUUAUAACUUUCUUAGCAUUCCAUGAAGUCUUUCUCUGGUAUAACACCCAUUUUCUAGAAUAAUCCCUACUUUGUAGGAAGACAUUCACAAAAGACAAUGGGUAUAGAAAAUUGAUUUUGAAAAAGAGUGAACAUUGUCUUGCGUUUCUCAUAGAAGUCACAGAAACCCCUCGGAAGUAAAGGAUAGCUACCUGUAAGUUGUGUAAACAGGUUCUGUACCCUGCCAGGAGGACCUCCCUCCCACCAUUCUGCUGAAAUGUCAAAGGGGAAACUUGGGCUUUAUUCUUGCUAGAUGUCCCUGCAAGACAGAUUCCCAGCUGUGACAAGAAACAACAUGAAAAAGGGAUUUUAAGAUGUUAUAUUUCUCAUCCCAAAUCUUCCCAAAGUAAAACAGAUGCCAAAAUGUCCAGCAGAGAAUGGAGGCACUUUACCUGGAAUUUACCUCAGACAGUGCCUGACAGAGGCAUCCUGGAUAAUUGCCUCUUCCCUCCUUCCCUCUCUGUUGAAGCUCAACAUGGCAUGUCUCAGAUGCUUAUUGUGACAGUAGAGCUUGUAAAGGAAAAAAAGGUCCUCCCAUUCCUUAAUCCCCUGAUUUUCAUGUCUUCUGACAUAGGAAUGUCUUAGAUCGUAUUGAUCCCUCACUGAUCGUUUCUGUGACGUGGAUACAGACCCUACCUACAGAGAGGGAAACGUGUAAUUUUCAUGACAUUGGGGAACAGCAUUCUAUAGAAUAUUUAUAGCCACAAAUUAAUUAAAAUUUAGUAUCAGAAGUAAUUUUCUUGCAUGCAAAGCAACAGUGAAAUGAUUUGUUCAUUGUCACAGAUGGGAAAGUGCCCUCUCUCCUUUCAUGAAAAGCCAUUCUUCAUUAAUUACCAUUUAUUGCACUCUCAGGAGAGAUUUUUAUUUGAUUAUGUGAUAUACUAAACAGUGAAUUCACAUGGUUCUAGGAGUAUUUGACAAGAAUGUUCAUAUUAUUUUAAAUAGCAAACCAACCAGGAAGAACUGUGAAAGUAGAAAGUUUCCUUUUAAACCUUAGUUUGACCUUGCUGAUAAAAAAGAAAUAGAAGAAGGAAACUAGAGAGGGAAGAUUGGCAGGGAGAGGAGUGGUCUGCACUUGAACUAUAGGACAAUAAGAUCAUGCAGAGUCAUUGUGAGCUUCCUUACAGGUCUUCAUUUUAAAUGAAAUUCUGUAAACAGCAAUGAAAUUUGCAAAGUUUAUUGGAUGUUGCUAAUUGCUCCCCCUGACCCCCCUUUAUUCAGGAACAUCAGUUAUCCAAGUGACAGCCUCUGAUGCAGAUAAUCCCACCUAUGGAAAAAGUGCCAAGUUAGUGUAUAGCAUCCUUGAAGGACAACCCUACUUCUCGGUGGAGGCCCAAACAGGUAUGGUCGAUUACAUCAUCUUUGUAAGUCACGACUUAUUUUAAACGAGGAGUCUAUGCCUCAUCAUUUAACUGCUUUGGCUUUAAAAUUCCUUAAAUUAAAACGGAACUAAAGGGCCACUUGGCAGUUAGUACGAGAUGGCCUAUGUAUGUUCUGUGCAUAUGGAUGAAUGGAAUAAUACACAUUUAUUAGUGUCUAAGAUGAUAAUUACAAAUAUUUAAAAUUAAAUUUAUGAAUUGGAAAUGCCUUGACUUGUGGAUCCAUAUUAAAAGGAUCGAAGGUUGUUACAAAGUAGUGUUAGCCUUUAAAACAUCCUUGGAAGACCACUGGGUAAACUAAGAAGUGUCAGGAGUAACUGUAAAUGUUCACCCUACUAGAAGAUCCAGCACAUUCCCAAUCUCCUGCUGUGAGCAUAGGUUCCCAAAGGAUGCUGUAAGAUAAAGAGCAGACCAGUAAAGUGAGUCAGUAUACAACAGAAACUAAAACAAUGUUUCGCUUCAUUUACACUAAUUUGAUUGUCAACAAGAGUGAACACUACAGUCCUAUAACAUUGUUCUUCUGCAGCAGUAUUACACUUUUCCUUCCUACGUAAUAUGUUCUGUACUCUUGAAAGGUUUUCAUACAAUUUGCAACUUUUACAUGAAUUCCUAAUUUAUUAUUUUUUUAUUUGCUUUCUUAACUCUUACCUACUUAUAUAUUAAUUCAUUUUUCAUAUUCUUACUUCAAACAACAGCUUGUGGAGUUAUUGUCUAUGGUUUCAUGGAGAUCUUUGCUUUUAGUCUUUGGGUAAACUAAGGAUAAAUGUGGGAUUUCAUCUAGACUACUUAAAAUAGUAAAAACUCUAGUCUUCUUUUUUUCUCUCAGGGAACCAAGGCUAGUGACUAACAGUUGGAACCCAUGAAACUAAUCAAUAAGGAACAUGAUGUCUCAUAAGUCCUAGGAUGUUGCAAAGAAACACCUUAACACUGGGCUCAGUGAUGCUGCGUAACAUAGCCCAGCACUUCUUCCUUGCUCUUUGUAUUUACACUAUAAAUACUGCUUUAUUCACUGAGUGUAAAAGCUUCCAUAAGAUCCCUAGAGAUGAAUCAUCAGGACAGCCCUUCCCAAUAUGGACAGAGAAGCCAAGGAGGAGUACCAUGUGGUGAUCCAGGCUAAGGACAUGGGUGGACACAUGGGUGGACUCUCGGGGACAACCAAAGUGACGAUCACUCUGACUGAUGUCAACGACAACUCAGCAAAGUUUCCACAGAGCGUGUACCAGAUGUCUGUUUCAGAAGCAGCUGUCCCUGGGGGAGGAAGUAGGAAGGGUGAAGGCUGAAGACCCAGACAUUGGAGAAAAUGGCUUAGUCACAUACAAUAUCAUUGAUGGAGCCGGCAUAGAACUGUUUGAAAUCAAAACAGACUAUGAAACACUAUGUUGCUGCUGCUGCUGCUGCUGCCGCCGCCUAGAGCUCCUCAUUUAGCCCCCUGAGACAAGCCUGUGGUUAGUUGUUGUUAGCCUUGCUACACAGACAGGAAACCAUAGCUAGGAAUUAGACACUGCCUGAGUUUUGAGAGCUUGCUGUUAGCACAAUACCAAUUCCGAAACAGGCCUUCCUCACUCUCAGGGAAGCUUCUUACCCGCCAGGCUUUCCUGCCCUUAGGCCUUGUGUCAGUGGAACUCUUCCGGGUCACAGUAAUUCUCUGUUAAUAAAAGUUUCCCACCGUGUGGGCACUCAAUGUUAGGGCAGGAAGGGGAUGCCUUUGGUUUCAUCAGUGUUGGUGUGAAAGACCCACAACGUGAGGACUCCCCCACGUUCUGACUCAAGAGAGGCGACACCCCAAAA